UAAAGUGGCGAACGGCUGAGUAACACGUGGGCAACCUGCCCUUUGCACUGGGAUAGCCUCGGGAAACCGAGGUUAAUACCGGAUACUCCAUAUUUGUCGCAUGGCGAAUAUGGGAAAGCUCCGGCGGCAAAGGAUGGGCCCGCGGCCUGUUAGCUAGUUGGUGGGGUAGUGGCCUACCAAGGCAAUGAUGGGUAGCCGGGUUGAGAGACCGACCAGCCAGAUUGGGACUGAGACACGGCCCAGACUCCUACGGGAGGCAGCAGGG
rnacentral:rRNA from 1 species